rnacentral:rRNA from 1 species
UACGUAGGUGGCGAGCGUUGUCCGGAAUUACUGGGUGUAAAGCGCGUGUAGGCGGCAGGCCAAGUCGGUGGUGAAAGCGCCCGGCUCAACUGGGCGAGGUCCAUGGAAACUGGUCAGCUGGAGGGCGGUAGAGGCGAGUGGAAUUCCCGGUGUAGUGGUGAAAUGCGUAGAGAUCGGGAGGAACACCUGUGGCGAAGGCGGCUCGCUGGGCCGGUCCUGACGCUGAAACGCGAAGGCGUGGGGAGCGAACGGG